rnacentral:tRNA from 1 species
GCACCCGUAGCUCAGCUGGAUAGAGCACCAGACUACGAAUCUGGGGGUCAGGAGUUCGAAUCUCUUCGGGCGCGCCA